rnacentral:rRNA from 1 species
GUGGGGAAUAUUGGACAAUGGGCGCAAGCCUGAUCCAGCCAUGCCGCGUGUGUGAAGAAGGCCUUUUGGUUGUAAAGCACUUUAAGCGAGGAGGAGGCUACCGAGAUUAAUACUCUUGGAUAGUGGACGUUACUCGCAGAAUAAGCACCGGCUAACUCUGUGCCAGCAGCCGCGGUAAUACAGAGGGUGCAAGCGUUAAUCGGAUUUACUGGGCGUAAAGCGCGCGUAGGUGGCCAAUUAAGUCAAAUGUGAAAUCCCCGAGCUUAACUUGGGAAUUGCAUUCGAUACUGGUUGGCUAGAGUAUGGGAGAGGAUGGUAGAAUUCCAGGUGUAGCGGUGAAAUGCGUAGAGAUCUGGAGGAAUACCGAUGGCGAAGGCAGCCAUCUGGCCUAAUACUGACACUGAGGUGCGAAAGCAUGGGGAGCAAACAGGAUUAGAUACCCCAGUAGUCC